UGGGGAAUUUUGGACAAUGGGGGAAACCCUGAUCCAGCCAUCCCGCGUGUGUGAUGAAGGCCUUCGGGUUGUAUAGCACUUUUGGCAGGAAAGAAACGUCAUGGGUUAAUACCCCGUGAAACUGACGGUACCUGCAGAAUAAGCUCCGGCUAACUACGUGCCAGCAGCCGCGGUAAUACGUAGGGUGCAAGCGUUAAUCGGAAUUACUGGGCGUAAAGCGUGCGCAGGCGGUUCGGAAAGAAAGAUGUGAAAUCCCAGAGCUCAACUUUGGAACUGCAUUAUUAACUACCGGGCUAGAGUGUGUCAGAGGAAGGUGGAAUUCCGCGUGUAGCAGUGAAAUGCGUAGAUAUGCGGAGGAACACCGAUGACGAAGGCAGCCUGCUGGGAUAACACAGAGACUCAUGCACGAAAGCGUGGGGAGCGAACAGG
rnacentral:rRNA from 1 species